rnacentral:rRNA from 1 species
GCAUAGGAUAGGACUGCGGCUCAUCAGGCUGUUGUCGGUGUAAUGAACCGGCAAACCGAUAACGAGUACGGGCUAUGGAAGUAGGAGCCCGGAGAUGGAUUCUGAGACAUGAAUCCAGGUACUACGGUACGCAGCAGUUACGAAAACUUUACAAUGCACUAACGUGCGAUAAGGGAAACUGGAGUGCUCUUGCUUUGCAAGAGCUUUUGCCUACUGAAAAUAGGUAGGUGAAUAAGGGGUGGGUAAUACGGGUGCCAGCCGCCGCGGUAAUACCCGAGCCCCGAGUGAUAGCCGCUAUUAUUGGGUCUAAAGCGUUCGUAGCCGGUUCUAAAAGUCUCUGGUGAAAUACUACAGCAAACUGUAGUGCGUGCUGGAGAUACUUUAGGACUUGAGACCGGGAGAGGACAGGGGUACUCUUGGUGUAGGGGUAAAAUCCUAUAAUCCCAAGCGGACCACCUGUGGCGAAGGCGCCUGUCUGGAACGGGUCUGACGGUGAGGAACGAAAGCUAGGGGAGCAAUCGGGAUUAGAUACCCCGGUAGUCCUAGCUGUAAACAAUGCCCGUUUGGUGUUACAAAUCUCUCGGGGGUUUGUAGUGCCGGAGCGUAGGUGUUAAGCGGGCCACCUGGGAAGUACAGUCGCAAGGCUGAAACUUAAGGGAAUUGGCGGGGGAGCACACAAGGGGUGGAGGCUG